rnacentral:rRNA from 1 species
GAUGAACGCUGGCGGCGUGCCUAAUACAUGCAAGUCGAACGCUGGAAAUCUAGCUUGCUAGCUUGAAGGAGUGGCGAACGGGUGAGUAAUACAUAAGCAACCUACCCACGAAGACUGGGAUAAUCUCUGGAAACGGGGACUAAUACCGGAUAGGUAAUCGGAAGGCAUCUUCUGAUUAUUAAAGGUUAAAAACACUGGUGGAUGGGCUUAUGGCGCAUUAGUUAGUUGGUGAGGUAACGGCCCACCAAGACGAUGAUGCGUAGCCGGCCUGAGAGGGUGAACGGCCACAUUGGGACUGAGACACGGCCCAGACUCCUACGGGAGGCAGCAGUAGGGAAUUUUCGGCAAUGGGGGAAACCCUGACCGAGCAACGCCGCGUGAGUGAUGACGGCCUUCGGGUUGUAAAGCUCUGUUGUAAGGGAAGAACGGUAGAUAGAGAAUAUCUAAAUGACGGUACCUUACCGGAAAGCCACGGCUAACUACGUG